rnacentral:miRNA from 1 species
AGCGAGCUGAGUGGGGAGGAGAGAGGGACAGAGAGCCUGCUUGCUUUAAAGGAGCCAACCGGACAGGAGCCGCUUACACGAGUGUAAGCGGCUCCUCUCCUCUCCUGCUUUGCUCCUUUAAAGCAAGCAGGCUCUCUGUCCCUCUCUCCUCCCCACUCAGCGGCU